CGGAACGUGCACUUCAAAGAACGCGGUCUUACGUUUCAUUGUUUCCCAAAACAAAGCAGGGAGCCAGACAGAUAUAACCAGUGGGUAAAGGCUUGCCGGAGAAGUGACAGCCUGCCGACUAAAUGGUCCCUUCUAUGCAGCGACCAUUUUACUGAUGCAGCCAUGGAUCGCACAGGACAGACAGUUCGCCUGAGAGAGGGCGCCGUGCCUACUAUAUUCAAUUUCCCCGCACAUGUUAAGAAACAAACAGAGCCAAGUGAAGCUACGCCAAAUCAGACCAUAAGCUCUAAAACUGCGGCACUGCCCCCACCUGACGCCU